rnacentral:misc_RNA from 1 species
GUACCCUCAAGCUUUGCUUGGUGUUGGGCGUCUUGUCUCUAGCUUUGCUGGAGACUCGCCUUAAAGUAAUUGGCAGCCGGCCUACUGGUUUCGGAGCGCAGCACAAGUCGCACUCUCUAUCAGCAAAGGUCUAGCAUCCACUAAGCCCUUUUUUCAAC